UACAGAGGUCCCAAGCGUUGUUCGGAUUCACUGGGCGUAAAGGGUGCGCAGGUGGGUUUGCAAGUUCGAUGUGAAAGCCCCGGGCUUAACCCGGGAAUGGCAUUGGAUACUGCAGAUCUGGAGGAUUGGAGGGGGGACUGGAAUUCUUGGUGUAGCAGUGAAAUGCGUAGAUAUCAAGAGGAACACCAGUGGCGAAGGCGAGUCCCUGGACAAUACCUGACACUGAGGCACGAAAGCCGGGGGAGCAAACAGG
rnacentral:rRNA from 1 species